AGCCCUCAGUCAGAUCACGAUUCUACUCUUGAAAGAUCUCUACCUCCAUUCUGUCAGAAGAUCCUUGAGACUCGCAGUCGAGAGGAUUUUCUAGAUCGAAGGCUCCAGGAGAUGAACCGAUGGAUCGAAGAACUCCGCCACACUGCCCCCACUUAUGGUGAGGAUAUUUGUACUGACCCUCCCUUCUCUCAAAUGAUCAUGUAGGAACUGAUCCCGCCAAACUUCAAGCUCCCUCAAUUUGAAAGCUACGACGGGACUUCGGACCCAGUUGACCACCUGGAGGCCUUCCGGACAAUGAUGCUAC
rnacentral:lncRNA from 1 species